rnacentral:misc_RNA from 1 species
AACGCACAUUGCGCCCGCCAGUACUCUGGCGGGCAUGCCUGUCCGAGCGUCAUUUCAACCCUCGAGCCCCCGGCCCUUCGCCGCGGGGCUCGGCGUUGGGGAUCGGCCCUGCGCCCCCGGGCGCGGGCGCCGUCCCCGAAAUCCAGUGGCGGUCCCGCCGUCGCUCCCCUGCGUAGUAGCACACCUCGCACCGGAGCGGCGGCGCCGGCCUCGCCGUGAAACCCCCCAACUUCUGACGGUUGACCUCGGAUCAGGUAGGACUACCCGCUGAACUUAA